GAGACACCCUUCUGCGGCAAGACUUGCUUCAGUGGGGCUUUGGUGCUUACUGAGUCUGCCCCCUGAGUGUGUCCCU
rfam:Myotis lucifugus cont2.61067, whole genome shotgun sequence.